CCUACGGGAGGCAGCAGUGAGGAAUAUUGGUCAAUGGGCGCGAGCCUGAACCAGCCAAGUAGCGUGAAGGAUGAAUGCCCUACGGGUUGUAAACUUCUUUUAUCAAGGAAUAAAGUGAGGCACGUGUGCCUUUUUGUAUGUACUUUAUGAAUAAGGAUCGGCUAACUCCGUGCCAGCAGCCGCGGUAAUACGGAGGAUCCGAGCGUUACCCGGAUUUAUUGGGUGUAAAGGGAGCGUAGAUGGGUUGUUAAGUCAGUUGUGAAAGUUUGCGGCUCAACCUUAGAAUUGCAAUUGAUACUGGCAGGCUUGAGUAUAGUUGAGGUAGGCGGAAUUCGAGGUGUAGCGGUGAAAUGCGUAGAGAUCACGAAGAACUCCGAUUGCGAAGGCAGCUUACUAAACUGCGACUGACAUUGAGGCGCGAAAGUGUGGGGAUCAAACAGGAUUAGAUACCCUUGUAGUC
rnacentral:rRNA from 1 species